GCGGCGAGCGCUUAUAUCAGCCUUUCCCUAAGUGGGCGACAACGCCCCCUUGUGGGCGCUGCAGGUCUAAAGAGGAGCGGUGUGAAAAAAAUAGGGGCGUUGU